UCGGCCUCGAGUACAACGCCUCCGAGGAGGCUUGGGC
rnacentral:sRNA from 1 species